GGUUGGAUUAUAGGGCAAAUACUCCAUUGGCAGAUAGUUUUCGCUACAUCUAUAUUUAUAUAUACAUAAUGGUUGAGAUGUAUGAAGAAAGUUUUACUGCCAAAGGAGAUUUGCCCCACAAUUCAUCC
rfam:Arabis alpina cultivar Pajares chromosome 1, whole genome shotgun sequence.